CCAUGUACAGGAGCAGUCUCUGUCUCUAAGAGAUGUGGAACAGACAGCAGAAGAAUUCUAGUACUCAUGUAUCUUUGAUCAAAGAACAGUCUUUCUCUAAUUGGAAAGUUCAUCCCCUAUAUCUAAGCAUAUAAAUGACUGCCUCCAGAGAAUAUACAAGGAAGUAUGAAAGAGAAAGUACACACCUGUCCAGGUCAUCUGAAUCAGCCCUGGUGAUCAGUAAGUGAAAGUGUAAUCAAUUAUAUUUCCAGUUCUAGACACUAAAGUAGCAUGACUCCUUUCUUUUUUUUUUUUUUUCCUUCCCCUCCCCCAUGGGUUCCUGUUAAGUUUCUCAGGAUCCACAUAAGAGUGAAACCAUGUGACUCCUUUCUAUAAUAUGCACACGAUGCCACAUAUCUACGGUGAUCUCUUUUCAGCUCUCUGGAAUUGCCUUCAGUCUUAUUCUAGAGGCAUGGUUCCCAAACUUCAGCAUGCAGCAGAAUCAACUGGAGAGCUUCCUAAGCAGAAAAUAUGGGGCUCCACCCCCAGAGUUUCUGCUUGAGUCGGUCUAGAUUGGGUCCUGAGAAGCUGCAUUUGCAACAACUUCCCAGGUAAGACUGAUGAUUCUAGUUGGAGACCAUACUUUAAGGACUAUUAGUUUCUAAUUCAUUUAUCUUUAAUCCAGACCAAUGUUGGCCAUAACAUGAUACCAGGAAUGAGCAAUCUACUUAAAAAGCAAAGGGUUCAAUUCCUUGACUCUAAGGACCCCAGGAAGCUUUCAGUACUGAUUUGUAGAGCUUCUGCAUUUCAUACUGAGCUUCACAUUUUCCCUGAACACAGAAAGCACAUAUAUAGAUGACAAUUCAGAUCAAAGUUAAAAAAAAAAUAAUGCUUGUACCUUUGCAGCUUAUGUAUAGGUCCUCAAAACUCUAUUUUGUCAGGGUGCCUGGGUGGUUCAGACGGUUUACCAUCCUACUCUUGAUCUCAGCUCAGGGUCAUGAGUUCAAGCUCCAUGCUGGGUGUGAAGCCUACUUAAAAACAAAAACAAAACAAAACAAACAAACAAAACUCUAUUUUUUCCUACAAGGUUUAGAUUCCUUGGGUUAGCCCUGAUAAUCAAUAUAAUCUGGAAAGUUUCACCUUAACAAUAUUUUUGGACUUGUUCAUUUUUCUGUCAAUAAUCAGAUAGAAAUAAGGUUUUGCUCAUGUUUUGCAGAUGAUUUUUUUAAUAAUUUUCAUAGCUUCACUGUGAACAUUAGACUUUUAUAGUUAUCAGAGCUCAGCUAGGGAAAGCUAUGACUGUUUCAUUUUGACAGUUCCUUUGGAGCAAUUAUUUAAUGUGAGUAUUAUUUAAAUGUGAGAGUGGAAUGAAUAUAUCCUGGUGUGGUUUUUAAAAUUUAGUCUCAACAUCUUAUCUUCUAUCUACAUUUAAGAUAGCACAUUAUUCUUUACUUCUUGCCUUCCAUUUAGAGUUAGCAAGGAGUUUAGAUAUUGGGGGAAGUAAUUUAGGCUGAAGAGCAAAAGAUACACAUUUAUGUGCUAUCCUUGGCUCUGUUAUUCCCUUAAUCCCAUCUGAAGAAAGAAAAAUGUUGAUUUUAAGUUGAGGCAAAAUAUGACAUCUUUUGAACAGUACAGUUGACAAUUUAGGAAAAACCACACAGUCUUUAAGCCAUUAUUUCAAAACCUCUGGGUAUGUAUAAAGUUAGUUUCACUGGGUGCCAUUUGAGCAAAGAUCCACUGUUGAGAAAAAAAUUUAACUUAAAGAGUUAAUAAGUUAAUGGAGGAAAGCCACUGCAACCUUUUUCCUCAGAUCUGUAGGAAUUCAGGCUUUAUAUUUGUAAUGAAUUUCUGUCCACCCAUUCUCAGGAAUACUUAAUAGGCAAUGGAAGAAAUAUGAAGUGUCGACAAAGCAAUUAUCACUGUUCUGAAGGGGAGAUGGGGUGAGGUGAAAAUGCAUAGAGAAUAGUUAUUUGUUUACUUCAAAAUAUGGGGUAGUGUUCAGCUGAAGGGGGUUAUCCUGAGAAUUUCUGUAUGUUUUUCAUAUGCCAUUUCUCUCAAGAAUCGACAGGCAGUGGCGUUAUACUCAUUCUGGAAAUUGCCUCUAUGUUCAAAUAGCAUUCACUACAUGCAGCUUUUCUCAGAUCUAAAGGGCAAGGGGAAAACAGAUUAUUUGUAAAAUAAAAACAUAACACUGGCAUGGAUAUUUUUUUUUCCUCAGGGUGAGAGGGAAAAUGCCUGGAUCUUGUUUUCAAACAUUCCAGCCAUCAACUCCAGACAGCAUGGACAAACAUAAUUUUCAUUGUUGACAUAAUGAAGAUGAUGAUGCUUUUCAACCAUUUCCCAGAGCAUAAACUCAUUUUCAGUGUGAGCCCGGCUAACCAUAACGGAUGCUAGUGAUGUGGGAAAAACAAAUGCACAAAUGAAAAACAAUGAGUUAGAUAGUUCAUUCAUUGCUGUCAAUAGAAGCCAGAGUUCCCCCAAAUCUGCUUAGUAUCUGCCUUUGUAUAAUCUAAAGUGCAUUGCAGACCAUUUGCAUAUUGAGUAAAAUGUUAAAAUUAACAAUUGAAUAAAAUGUUAGGCAUAAGCAAGGCAGUUACAUUCUCACUAUCUCUCAGAAAGUUUUGGGCUUUUUUCUUCAUGUGUCUGCUUAU
rnacentral:lncRNA from 1 species